CGAGGCCGGGACGCCGGACCCUGGGAAUCUUUUCCCUCAGCUACCCGCAGGCCAGCUGCCACCUUCUUGGAGAAGGACCACACCUGUGCUUAUUCCUCGCUUUGGAGGAGAGAUGUAGGAAUAGAAGCUCUGAGUGGUGGACUCUGCAGGAGAGGACUGUGCUUGUGUUUCCGCACCAGCCCAAGGCUCUAGAAGUGGAGGGUUCUUGUGAAAACCAAAGCAGAAUGCACAUAGAAAAUUACUACAUGUUCAAUAGAUGUGAAGUAUUAUUGCCAUGUUGGAUUAUGAGCACUUUGAGGAAGGGGAUCUUUUAGUCCUUCACUUCCUGGGGAGCCUUCAGAGGGAGUCCUGCAGCCACCCGGAAAGGAUGCUGCCGGCCGACGCAGAGACUGACAGGCUGCCCUGGCUCAGUUAUCACAGUGCUGAUGCUGUCCAUUCUAAAGGUACAGUACUGUGAUAACUGAAGGAUGGCAGCCAUCUUGCCUUCCAUCAGAAGAGCCGCACCGUGCCUGGGGAGGAAGACAGAAGACGAAGGAUGGCCUGUGAAACAGUGGCGGGACCCAGAAGCCCGCUACCCUGUCCCUGCAUUGGUCCUUCCCUAGAGCCAGGGGGUAGUCCAUCUGUCUUUGCCUUGUUUCAUGAUACGAGGCUGAGGAGGAGUUGGGUAGUAGUCUGUUCUGUGGUACUGAUUGGACAUAUCAUUAAGAUCUCUGGAACAUUUAAGAGACUGAUGCUAGGUAAGUGCUGAGUGUGGAUUAGUAUCAGAGACAUUUGUGCCACUUUUAUAGACAUAAAAGUUACCUAAUCAAAUUAGCUUGAUGUCGUCAGUAUUGGAUGUUCAAAAUGAAAUUUAGCUUAAACGGAGAAAAAAGUCCUACGUGUUGAAUGGUAUUCACAUUAUAGCAUGAAUAAAAUCCCAUCUUUGUCUUUAAGGAAUUUUUAAGAUCUACUCUGAUUCAGAAAAUACGUGUUGAACGCGCAUGUUAUGGCUGCUGUCACCUUUGCGUUUGUGGGCGUGUGUGCUCAGUCAUGCCUGACUCUCUGCAACCCUUUGGACUGUAGCCUGCUAGGCUCCUCUGACCAUGGAAUUUUCCAGGCAAAAGUACUGGAGUUGCCAUUUCCUACUUCAGAGGAAUCUUCCUGACCCAGGGAUCAAACUCCUGUCUCCUGCCAAUCUCUUGUAUUGGCAGGUGGAUUCUUUACCACUGAGCCACCUGGGAAGCCUCUGCUGUCAUCUUUACAUGAAAAUAAAAUGUAAAUAAUUUUACUUAUAUCAAAUAAUUAAGGAGUACCCUGCAGUGUCAUCUAGAAUAUGUCAGUUUCAGGGCUGUGAAGGUCUGAAUAUCAGCCCAGCGUCGGGUGGGCACAAAAGACUAGGACAUUGAACAGAGCUCACAUCUUCAGCCUGGAUCCUGGAGUACUUCUGGGGUGCGAGGUGGGGUUAUUGGAGAACCUAGAUUUUCUCAUAUCCCUCUCCCUGAAGACUCUCAAGGAAGCUGUACACGUGGAACAGCAGCAGACAAGGAUCAGAGUACAUGACCUGAUUAUGUGUUAGUUACGUCAUAGUCUGUUGUAAGGCUCAGGUAAUUUCAUGUAGUUUAGCUUCAGUGUCCUAAACAGAAACCUCUUAAUAUCUUCCUAGGCUCACAUCUGUACCUGUUAACCUUCCCACUCCGUGGAUAACUGCCUAGUAUAGAAACCAAAGCAGUGGGCAAAGAGAGAAUAUAGAGUCUGCUGAGGUUAAGACCUGCUACCACAGGUCAAGAAGAGCCAGGGAAGGAAAAAUUAUAUAUGUGACUCUUUAAUGUACAGAAACUACCCAGUAUGCAGCAUAGCCAAGUUGAUGUCUUAAGCCUGUUUUAUUAUCAAGUCCUUCAGUGGGACAGAGGCUAGAAGAAAGGUGACUGGGAGCGAGUAGAGAGGCCUAAGAGCUUCCAUUUCCUGCCCACCCUACAGUCAGACAUUGCUGGUCACCAUGCUCCUUUGCUGGUCCACACAGUCCUCUGACCCUCCUCUUCCCCAACCAGAGGCGCUGUUUUUGGAGGAACCCCUUGAGCCACACCUGAUUGACCCUGAAUUGCUUUCCAUGUGGCAUUGACCACCGUCUGACCCUCGACCUCCACGUCUGCAUACACUCAGGGUUUCUUCAGACUGCACACUGACUGUGGUUUUGAUUAGUUACAGGGAGGGACAGUUCUGCCCGAUUGUGUGUUAUACUACCAGUUCUGAAAUUCCUUGGAGUGUCCUGCUCCCUUAAACAGAAAAGGAAUUUCUGACAGAAACCCUGGAAGAACUUCUAAGAAAGGAAAGUUCUGGGAUUGGUGAAUUCUCAAGUAACAAAGCACUCCCAAUUUUUAGUGUUAUAGCAGGUGGAAAAAAGUGCUUCAGGGAGUGAUGUGUUGUGCAAUCAUUGGCCUUAGUGGGGAUUUCACCACCUUCCUUGAUCUUCCUGUUUUCCCAUUACUGGUUUUAGAAAAAUUCAGAUUUUAUACUUAGCGGACCUUGACCCCAGGGUCCACACCCAUGGGCUGUUACGGAGCUGAGUGUUGGGUGUAGUUUGGAAUCACUCCUGCAUUUCUACAGACUGAACCUUACUGGGUCCUAUUUCCUGUCAACAGGAAAGCCUGAGCUCAGCCUGAGAUGUGAACUACAGAGGGCCUACCCGAGAAGUCCUUGGCAUUUAGGGGCAGUUCAUAGAUGCAGGGUGUUCCCAACAGGUUAGGCAAGAAGUGAUGCAAGAGAAGUCUAAUGGUGUUUUUCUGCUGCUUUAUUUGAAACAUAGAUACAAAGUGUGUUUGGUUGGUGUUUUCAUUGUAUUCUUCAGUUGAGGUGUGAGAAUGGGAACCCUGGAAUUACACAUAGAAGUAGCGUAUGAUGCAGCAUUUCUGCUUCCAGUUAUGCACCCAAAUGAAUGGAAUCAGACAUUUUUGCACCUGUGUUCACAGCAGCAUGCACAAUCGCCAAAAGGUAGAGGCAACCCAAGUGUUUGUUGACGAACAUAUGGAUAAGUAAAAUGUGUGUAUGUACAACAGAAUAUUAUUCAAUGUUAUUAAGGAAGGAGGUUCUGACACUUACAACAUGGGUGAGCCUUGAUGGUAGCUACGUGAAAUGAGCCAGACCCCGAAGGACAAAUAGGGUAUGGCUCUUCUUACGUGAGAUUCCUAGAGCAGUCAGAUUCAUAAAGCCAGGGAAAUGAUGGUUGCCUGGGCCUGGAGGAAGGGGCAAAUGGGAAAUUUAUGUUUAACGGAGUUACUGGGGAAAAUGAAGAAAUUCUGAGAUGAAUGGUGGUGGUUGCACAAUGUGAAUGCACUUAUUAAUACUACAGAACUGUACACAUUAAAAUGGCUAAAAUGGUAAAUUUUAUGUCAGUUUUACCACCACCACCACCAAAAAAAAAAAAAAAAGCCUACGUAAUAGCACUGUUGCAGCCAAUGACAGGACUGAGUUGAUUGCUUUCUUCUUUAGACAGUCUUCAGUGUGAAGAUAAUUGCUGUUUCAAAUAAGCAAUUAAAAUGUAAUUCCCAUGUCUUUAUGCAUUUAAAGUUCUCUAAUCUGUAGACUGUUAGACAUAUUUCCAGAGUUUCUGACAUAGCAUAGCUUUAAAAUUUUGUAAAAUAUAAAGAAAAGGAAGUAUAACAGAGUGCUGAAAGCAGAGUGAGAAAAAGGCCUCAGCAAGUAGGCAGAUGAGGGUGCACCUCUUGCUGGCUUUUAUGUCUUUUCUGGUGAAAUUGAGCAACUCACCACACCUUUUCUUUUUUCUCUUUUUUACGUUUCAGUUCUUUUCAGUUGAGUUUAGUUCAGUCGCUCAGUCGUGUCCGACUCUUUGCAGCCCCAUGAAUCGCAGCACGCCAGGCCUCCCUGUCCAUCACCAACUCCCGGAGUUCACCCAGACUCAGGAAAAUAUACUUAUUGAAAUGAAAUUCAUAUGCCAUAAAAUCCACCAUUAAAGUAUACAAUGAAGUGGUUUUUAGUAUAUUCAUAAAUUCAUAUAACCAUUGUCACUGUCUACUUCAGAUCACUUUUUAAAAUUUAAUUAUAGGAGGAUAAUUAUAAUAAUGUGACGGUUUUUGCCAUACAUCAACAUGAAUUGGUCAUAGGUAUACAUGUGUCACCGCCCGCCCCAUCCUGAACCCCUUCCAGUUCCCUCUGCACCCUAUCCCUCUGGAUUGUCCCAGACCACCAGCUUUGGGUACUUUGCUUCAUGCAUCGAACUUGCACUAGUCAUGUAUGUUACAUAUGUUAAUGUACGUGUUUCAGUGCUAUUCUCUCAUCCCACCCUCGUCUUCUCCCACUGAGUCCAAAAGUCUGUUCUCUACAUCUGUCUCUCCUUUAUUGCCCUGCAUGUAGGAUCAUCAGUAUCAUCUUUGCAAAUUCCAUAUAUAUGCAUUAAUACACAGUAUUUAUCUUUCUGACCUACUUCACUCUGUGUAAUAGGCUUCAGGUUCAUCUACCUCAUUAGAACUGACUCAGAUGCGUUCCUUUUUAUAACUGAGUAAUGUUCCAUUGUGUGUAUAUACCACAACCUAUCCAUUCAUCUGCCAACGGACAUCCAGGUUGCUUCCAUGUCCUAGCUAUUGUAAAUAAUGCUGCAGUGAACACUGGGGUACACGUGUCUCUCUAAAGUCUGGUUUCCUCACGGUGUACGCCCAGCAGUGGCAUUCACCGGAUCUUUCUGUGCUCCAGUUGCCUCAGUUGUCGUCUGCUUUGGAGUCAUGGUAAAGAUGAAAUUUUAUGUGUGUGUUUAUAGUUUGUAUUGUAUGCAUUUUGUGUGUGUGUGUAUGAUCAUUUUGAUGACCAAAGAAACAUUUAGGCAUUAUUUCUUAUUCUCAAGAUGUAGAAGUAGUGUCUGAAAAGAAUAGAGUUAAUAUUUUAAAAUAAAGUUUUAAUAAAAUCCUAACUGGACUUGUCAUUCAGCUCUUCUUAGCCUGAUUAAAAGGAGCAUUCUAUAGCUUGCUUUCCAUCAUGAAAUAUUUUUCCUAUUUGUUAUUAUGUGUUUAAAUUUGAAAAUAAGAGAAGUAAAAUCAUAAGAGACUAAAAGUAGACAGUAAAACCCUUCCCUAAGUGAUUGCAUGUGUUAUUAGCCUUCAGUAAAAGGCAUCAUUUGUGGACUGCAUCCACAUCCUCACAAAGCUCUCACUUGGAUUCAUGCUCUGGAAAUCAGAUUUUGAUGGUAAGAAUGGCCUCCACCAGAUCCAGUGUAGACCCCAACCCUUGAUUAUAUCAUCCAAAGUUGGAGCAGAGAGUUAGCUCUUACCUCUGCCAUGCCAGUUUCAGGUAUUUUGCUGUGCCUCAUAUAAUCCAUUCUGAGCUUCUCUGAAUAACCAACCAACUGUAAAGGCACCGCACAUCUGUUGUACUACCAUUAAACUGACUUCUUCCAAAUCAAUUGUUUAUUGAGGCAGCAAGAUUCUUGUGUUAUAUUUCAUGCAGAGUUUUUUCCCCCCGAAAAAUUGCUCCCUUAUAACACUGGAUUCAUAUUUACAGUUAAUCCUCACCAAAGAGUUGAUUUUCACCAUUACCGUAAGAGUCUUUUACUACACAGGUUUUUAAUUCAGCAAUUACAGGAGUAAUAGAGACAUCAAAAACCACUUUGUUUUAUUCUUCCAUAUUCAAAACAUGAUGUGAAGAUUCUUGUCGGGAGGGAACGACAAGUAUGAGAGUGUGUGCCUGGAACAUUCUCCACUGGAGUUUCUUAUACUUAAAUUGGUUGAAGGGGGUUUGCAUUGUAAUGAAUGCCCCUAAUGUAAUAUAUAUUGAAACAAUUCACAUAAUUGAAAUGGAUUAAAGUAAGCUGAUGAUGCCUUGUUUUAUGCAUUUGGACUGUUACUGUAUUUUUAUUUUUCAUGAGAUUAUGAGGAGAUGGAUAGUGAUGCUGAAAAGUGGGAAGCUGUAGAGGACAGAUCCAGUGUGGUGAGAAAUCAUUUUCAUUUUCUGCCAGUCUCUUUGUAAAUGAAAUUCCAGACAUAUUAUUUAGACUCCCAUUGCUUGCUUUUUUUCCCCCCACUUUGAGUAUCUUUGGACCAGGAGUAUCUUAGGGUCAGUGGGGGUACCGCCUAGAACACUUUGCUGAGAAGACUUUAGAGGCCACAUCUGGGUUCCAUAGAAAAGAAAGUGAAAGCCACUCAGUCAUGUCCAACUCUUUGCAACCCCAUGGACUCCAUACAGUUCAUGGAAUUCUCCAGGCCAGAAUACUGGAGUGGGUAGCCUAUCCCUUCUCCAGUGGAUCUUCCCAACCCAGGAAUCGAACCAGGGUCUCCUGCAUUGCAGGCAGAUUCUUUACCAACUGAGCUAUCAGGGAAGCCCCAAGCCCCAGUGUUCCACAGAAAGGGAUGCUGUAACCGCCUGUCAUGUCUACCUGUGGUCUGCUCUCAGUGUCUGUCAUCGGCAUCAGACUGAGAUGCAGGGGUACAUUGCUGACACCUUUCCAGCUAUCACAGUAUUUUUAAUACAGAGGUUUAGAUCCUCUGGGAAGGCAGACAUUCUCAAAGUUAGAUUGAUACACUAGAUUUCUGGGAAGUUAUGUCAUUGGGAAUAUAAACACCCUUUAUAUGGGGAGGGCAUCAUGGGCAUCUAAUUAGCAUGUCUACUACAUAAUGUAUAGAAUUAUGUCAACAUAAAUCUUCCUCAUUUUUUAUCAUUCACUGGUUCCUGCAAAAUUAAUACUAUAAAAUUUGCCACAUUUUAGUAAAUGCAUUUUAAGCAGUCUUGUAUGGUUUAUAUAUAUAGAACUUUGUGUAAGUAAUUAGGUCUAAUAGGCUAGAAGAGGACUUCCUUUUUUUAAAGUUGUCAGGAUUAUUUGCUUAGGAUGAGUCAGUGUAUGUUGAAUGUGCGUAUACCAAGGCUCCAGUUUCAUCCGGAUUCAAAUCUUCAAAGUAAAAGAGUUCUCCACUUUUCAUAUUUGAAGAACCUGAGGAAGCUCACAGAAGAUCUUCAGCACACAAAGCUAGUAAGUAGUAGAGUAGGGGUAUGAAUCUAGAACAAAACUGUGAGAAACUAAGCUAAUAGAUAUUAAUCCUACCUUCUUUGCUCGAGUGUAGAUUAGUAAAUGAGCCUUUGAAAAGGAAGCCAGCAUAUGUCACAGCACCUUCCCCCAUCCACUAUGGCUGCUGUUACCUAUAAUGGCCUCUUUAAAAAAAAUUUGAUCAUGACAUGUUUUAAAUUCCUCCAGUGGCUUCCUUGAUGCUGUUGAAAUCAAGACUGUUGGCCUUAGCAAGCUCCGUUACUGAAGAUUCCUAUUGGAAGGGAAUGCCAAGUAUGAGAGUGUGUGCCUGGAACAUUCUCAGCUUGAAUUCCUUAUAUAUAAAUUGGUUUCCACCUACCUCUCUGGUCCCAUGUCUUGUACCCAGUUGACUGGCCCAUCCUUUGUCUGGGGAAUCAAGCUUCUUUCCAACCGUGGUACAUUUCCUUCUGCCUGAGGCACCCUUACCAUUCACUUCACCUGGUUAUCUUUUGUCCUUUAGUCUCUGAUUAGUUAAUUCCUCAGAGAACCCUUCCUGACAGUCCCAUCUGUGUCCAGUCCUGUGGCACUCUGUAUGUUUCUUUCAGUGUACUUGUUAGAGCUGAACUACAUAAAUGCACAUGUAGGGUAUGUGUGUGUGUGUGUGUUACAUGUCAUUAGAUUGUGAGUUCCUUGAGGGCAGGGACCAUGGCUGUAUCUAUUGCUGUGUUCACAGUGCCUGGCCCAGAACCUGCUAUGUGACUCAGUAGAAACCUAAUGUGGUAUGAUUUGCCAAGUGGGGUCCUUCCUGUUUUCUAAGAGUGAGUGAGAAGAGUCCACAGUUAAAAACGUGUUUAAAAUCCCCACUUUUCUGUGAACAGAGAACUGCAGCUCUGUGACAAGCAUUUUUCUGUGAAACUUUAAGGUGCCAUUUGACAGAAGCGGCUCUCAGAUGGCCCUGAUCGCUCACACCCAUCCCUGUAAACAGAGGACCAGGAGCGGGAGAGAGCCUCGUUCAGAGCAGAGUUGCCCUUGGAGCUCAUCUUUUGUCUGAAAGUUGGUGAGCCACCAGCUGUGCCAUAAAGAGCUCCCCACACCCAGACUCUGCAAAGCUGAGAGAAGGGGUGGGGGGAGGAGGAGGAAAGGAGAGAUGCAAACUGGGUGGCACAAGGGUGUGAAUUUCUUGGACUCCAUGAUCAGUGCACGUGAGUCUGUUGUGGCUGGGAAGACCUCUGGUGAUCCAGGGGUUAAGAAUCUGCCUUUCAAUGCAAGGGAUGUGGGUUUCAGUCCCUUGUCAGGGAACUAGGAUCCCACAUCUGUAGGGCAACUGACCCUGAGCACCAUAACUAGAGAAACCUGCAUGCUGCAACUAGAGAAGGCCCUCACACCGUAGUGAAAAUCCAGUGCAACCAAAAUAAAGAAGGCAGCUUGGGACUUACGUUUUCUGGCUAAUGCCCUGCAGGAGAGCCACCCCCACAUCCUAUGAGUGGGUCCCAGGAGUGAACCAGGCUGUGGAUGGUAUCCCAAAGGAUAAGCUUCUGGCCAGUCAGAAAACCCACCCCCAGCAAGGUGGGGUGGUCCAUGUGGGAACCCUUUCUGAAACUUCUGAGCCCCAUUUGAUGCAGAGCUUAUUGGAAAGAUGUCAUUUGAGCAGAACCUGCUCUCAGGUUCACUGUCAGGAGUCAUGAAAGGAACCAACCAAGAAAGGAAGCUCAAGGAGAAGAGGUGAGGCCGGGGCAUGGGAAGGUAGUGGGCUGACUCUUCCAGCCCACCCCCUGGAGCUUUAGGCCUCCCCUUAGCUGGAGAAGGUACAGAGCUUUGUACUGAUUAUUGAAAUCUUCAUCAAAAUGAAAUGCUUGGUGGCUCAACUUGGUAAGAGGUUAAUUUGAGGCCCUUACUACUCACAAGGAAGGGGGAGGUUUUCAGAGCACAAAAGUGGAAGAUACUGGACAUAAAAGUUUCAUGUUCACUGAUUUGAAAAUCAAAAUAGUUAAAAUUAUUCAUUAAAAGGAUGAAAGGGCUAUAAAGUGCCCCUUUAGAUAGAAGUUUGCAUGUUGAUAUUUCUUUCCCUAAUAAGCCCCCUCACUGCCACUUAUACCAUGUUGAAGGAGUUGGGUAUAUUAGUUCAGUCCUAACACUUCCAACAGCCUGUUAGCUCCCACUACUGUCUCCUCUCUCUUCUCCAAAAAGCAGAAUCCAGUAAGGACAUUUCCCAGUAACCCACCUCCUAGCACAUUUGCCUGAAGGUGCCGAGCAUGAGGGUAGAUGGAAGUUAACUCCGUGUUACCAGUAUGUUAAGUAAUUACCCAGUGGUAUGAGUCCACAUCUUUGACCGUUCUUCUUUGUGCCUGAUAGAUUGACUAAGAAUAUCUCAGUGCAGAACCAGCUGGCUUAAAAAACAAAAACUUGCAGAUGCACCUGCCUUUAAGCGUACUCAUCCUACCUAUAGACCAAGUCAUAGACUGACAGGGACCUUCUUCCUAGUUGUUAGCCCAAUCAGUGUACUGUUGAGGAUAGGAACCCAGGAGCUCAUUUACUCCACCAUUUUUCAAACACCGUGGGUUUGAAAUCGAUUAAAUGUGUGUUGAUGCUGCUGCUGCUAAGUUGCUUCAGUCGUGUCUGACUCUGUGCGACCCCAUAGACAGCAGCCCACCAGGCUUCCCAUCCCUGGGAUUCUCCAGGCAAGAACACUGGAGUGGGUUGCCAUUUCCUUCUCCAAUGCAUGAAAGUGAAAGUGAAGUCUCUCAGUCAUGUCUGACUCUUCGAGACCCCAUGGACUGCAGCCAACCAGGCUCCUUGGUCCAUGGGCUUUUCCAGGCAAGAGUACUGGAGAAAUGUGUGUUGACCAGCAUUUAAAAAAUAAAACGAGGGACUUCCCUAGUUGUUCAGUGGUUAAUACUUUGCCUUCCAGUGCAGCGGAUACAAGUUUGAUCCCUGGUCAGAGAGCUAAGGUCCCACAUGCCUCGAGGCCAAAAAGCACAUAACAAACAAUGUUGUAACAAAUUCAAUAAAGAUUUUUAAAAUAAUCUUUAAAAAUUAUUUAAAAUCAAUAAAUAUAAAACAAUAGAAAAUAGCAGUGCAUAGCUUGUGGUAAAGUAAUAUUACUCCAUGAAACCUUGCCGUUGCCUGCUUCAGUGUAUGUUUGUGAGUGUGGAGGGGUGUUCCGUCACUAAGUCGUGUCUGACUCUGCAACCCCAUGGACAGUAGCCCACCAGGCUUCUCUGUCCAUGGAGUUUCCAGGCAAGAAUAUUGGAGUGAGUUGCUGUUUCCUUCUCUAUGGGAUCUUCUUGGACCAGGGAUUGAGCCUGAGUCUCCUGCAUUGGCAGGCAGAUUCUUUACCACUGAGCCACCUGGGAAGCCCUUAUGAGUGUGUACUGGGACCCCAAUUUUUUUUUCUAUCUGGGUUUCAGUUCAGUUCAUAAGUUGUUGGUCAAGAUGUGAGAUUCUAGAUCAUCUCACUAUGUAUUGCAAAUUUUGGAAACUAAAGCCCAGAAUGGUGAAGACACUUGUCCAGGGUCAGUAGGAAAAGAGGAGGAAUUCGAAUGUGCAUCUCAGUCUCUUGGGUAAUGUUUCCCCUUCUUCUCACCAGCCUAGAGAGAAUAGCGAAAGUAAUAGCUAAUAUUCAGUGAGCAAUUACUAUGUGCCAACCACUGUGUUAAAUACAUCAUCUUAUUUCAUAGGGAAAAGGGGUUGGUUGGUAUUGUGUUUUGUUUCAAGUAAAUGUUCAUGGUUGAACAGUGACUAGACCAGAUACAGAAAUGGUGAGUUAACAUUUAAAGUUUUUAUAGCAAUUUGACAGAGUAACUUUAGGUCUGAUUACUCUAGUAAUAAAAGCAUUGGCUUGCAUUUUAUGUCUUUAAUAAACAAUUUUCUAGCAAUUCAUUUUCAUUGUGUUUUAUGAAAGUAUUAGUCCAUGAUGGAUUAGAAAUAAGGUCAAACGUGGUUCUCCACCAUGGAUAGUUUGAGAAGCACUGACUUAGACCCAGCCAAGCCAACAAGCUUUGUCCCUUGAGGCAUCUGUAGUCAUUUUGAAGUGCCAGGUGGUCAUAGUUACCUCUGGAAGGGGCAGAUUGCUGGACACAAGCCCCCUAACAGCAGAGAGGCGGGUUACUGUGAUAUCUACAGUUAACGAGGGACUUCGAUUCUAGAAACAGCUGCCCUUAUCUUGGGGUGACUAGCAGAAAAGGCCCUGUUGUCAAUUAAUACCCCAAAGCUUUCAUUUAUUUCAGAACUUGAGGAAGUGGGACUGAUGGGGACGCUUUUCCCCUCUGGGAGAGCAGAGAGAGCUCGUUCCUUGUAAAGUUGCCCCAUGAGAAAAAGUUCAGCACAGAACAAAUUAAAUUCUCAUUUCCCAAGACUCUCCAUCAGAGUGGUAACAGCAGAAGGACGGUGCUGCAGCGGUCUCUGGGAAGAGAGGGCCGAUUAAAGGGAGCUUGUGGAUCUCCUCGACUUGCAGGCUCUGUGGAGGGAGCACACUUCAUAAAUCCUGAUGGACUGAUUUUUGGCUACAUCCUCAGAUUUGUACGAAGAACUGUUUUGAGUGAAUCAGUGUGUCUUUGUUUGCAUCUUCUGGAAUCCUGAAGACUGAGCCAAGGAGUUAGCAAGGCUGAGCCCUGUACUGAGCAUUUAAUCAGUUGAACACUUCCUUAUGUUUCCCUGGUUUGUGCUCAUAACAAGUGACCUUCGUCCAACUCCUCGCAACACACGAUUGUGGAAUGUUCCCUCCUGAGGAACAUGCUUUGUUUUUUUCAUUGUGAACACACUGAAAAUCUCUGAAAAUUCAAAUGAGUUUGGACAGUGGUAAUAAUGUAAGCUAACUGUACCUGCUGUGUGCCCAGUAUUCUACAUAUGUAUUAUGUUCUGCAUAUGUAUUCAGUUAGUGUUUACAUGCUAACUGUUCCAACAGCCCUGGUCAAAUGGGGGCGGGGGCAGGGGAACUAAGGCUUAGAAAAAUGUGGUCACUUACCUGAGUUAACUUGUUCAAGCCUCAGCUUCUGCAUCCUUAUAUUUACUGCAGAUUCAUAUCAGCAUCCUUGUACAAGUGAGGCAGUGCUAGAACCCCAAAGUCAUAAUAUUUUCAUUGAUUCCUUUCUUCUACCUGUAAACACUGUUGGGACCUUUUGGUUUUGAUUUUGAAUACACAUUACCUAUUCAAUAAUUCAGGAGUGGAAUGAUGCACAUGUAAUUCUGAGUCCUGAGAAUUCAGAAGCCCCCAUGGUAAUAAAAAGCUAACAUUGAUUAAAGACUUUCUGCAUCACCUGUCCAUGCAGUAAUUUUUACCCUCAUUCUCUUACUUAAUCCUUUAACAGAAACCACCUCCUUCUCCGUAUCCCUAUGUCUGCUUUCUUUUGUUUUUUAAAUUUUAAAAUAAAAAGAAAUGUUUUUUAAAA
ensembl:lncRNA